UACGAAGGGGGCUAGCGUUGUUCGGAUUUACUGGGCGUAAAGGGCGCGUAGGCGGCCAGCACAAGUCAGUUGUGAAAUCUCCGAGCUUAACUCGGAAAGGUCAACUGAUACUGUGCGGCUAGAGUGCGGAAGGGGCAACUGGAAUUCUUGGUGUAGCGGUGAAAUGCGUAGAUAUCAAGAGGAACACCUGCGGCGAAGGCGGGUUGCUGGGCCGACACUGACGCUGAUGCGCGAAAGCCAGGGGAGCGAACGGG
rnacentral:rRNA from 1 species